CACUCCUACGGGAGGCAGCAGUGGGGAAUAUUGCACAAUGGGCGCAAGCCUGAUGCAGCCAUGCCGCGUGUAUGAAGAAGGCCUUCGGGUUGUAAAGUACUUUCAGCGGGGAGGAAGGCAAUACGGUUAAUAACCGUGUUGAUUGACGUUACCCGCAGAAGAAGCACCGGCUAACUCCGUGCCAGCAGCCGCGGUAAUACGGAGGGUGCAAGCGUUAAUCGGAAUUACUGGGCGUAAAGCGCACGCAGGCGGUCUGUCAAGUCGGAUGUGAAAUCCCCGGGCUCAACCUGGGAACUGCAUUCGAAACUGGCAGGCUUGAGUCUUGUAGAGGGGGGUAGAAUUCCAGGUGUAGCGGUGAAAUGCGUAGAGAUCUGGAGGAAUACCGGUGGCGAAGGCGGCCCCCUGGACAAAGACUGACGCUCAGGUGCGAAAGCGUGGGGAGCAAACAGGAUUAGAUACCCCUGUAGUCCCA
rnacentral:rRNA from 1 species